rnacentral:rRNA from 1 species
CUACGUGCCAGCAGCCGCGGUAAUACGUAGGGGGCAAGCGUUAUCCGGAAUUAUUGGGCGUAAAGAGUGCGUAGGUGGUUACCUAAGCGCAAGGUUUAAAUUAGAGGCUCAACCUCUACAUGCCUUGCGAACUGGGCUACUUGAGUGCAGGAGGGGAAAGCGGAAUUCCUAGUGUAGCGGUGAAAUGCGUAGAUAUUAGGAGGAACACCGGCGGCGAAGGCGGCUUUCUGGACUGUAACUGACACUGAGGCACGAAAGCGUGGGUAGCAAACAGGAUUAGAUACCCUGGUAGUCCACGCCGUAAACGAUGAGCACUAGGUGUUGGGUCCGUUAGGACUCAGUGCCGCAGUUAACGCAAUAAGUGCUCCGCCUGGGGAGUACGCCCGCAAGAGUAAAACUCAAAGGAAUUGACGGGGACCCGCACAAGCAGCGGAGCAUGUGGUUUAAUUCGAAGCAACGCGAAGAACCUUACCAGGGCUUGACAUCCUGCUGAC